AGGGGCGUAGCUCAGAUGGCAGAGCGCUCGCUUAGCAUGCGAGAGGUACUGAUCGUGAUACCGACCUUAAUUUAUUUUGAGUUGACGGAAAUGCUACUUCAUUCAGGAGUAUGGAAUUAGUUAGAAGUGACUUGUGAAGGAGGUGGUGUCAGGGGGGCGUAGCUCAGAUGGUAGAUGCCUGCUUGCGAGAGGUACCGAUCGAUACCCGGCGCCUCCA